rnacentral:rRNA from 1 species
UGGGGAAUAUUGCACAAUGGGCGCAAGCCUGAUGCAGCCCUGCCGCGUGUAUGAAGAAGGCCUUCGGGUUGUAAAGUACUUUCAGUCGGGAGGAAGGUGGUAAGGUUAAUAACCUUAUCAAUUGACGUUACCGACAGAAGAAGCACCGGCUAACUCCGUGCCAGCAGCCGCGGUAAUACGGAGGGUGCAAGCGUUAAUCGGAAUUACUGGGCGUAAAGCGCACGCAGGCGGUUGAUUGAGUCAGAUGUGAAAUCCCCGGGCUUAACCCGGGAAUUGCAUCUGAUACUGGUCAGCUAGAGUCUUGUAGAGGGGGGUAGAAUUCCAUGUGUAGCGGUGAAAUGCGUAGAGAUGUGGAGGAAUACCGGUGGCGAAGGCGGCCCCCUGGACAAAGACUGACGCUCAGGUGCGAAAGAGUGGGGAGCAAACAGG